GUCUCCUCUCCUUCCUCAUCCUCCUGUUUACAGAUCCAGAUGAAGAACUCUCAGCUCUUCUCCAGCACCAUGUCUGCCUGCAUGCCUCCAUGCUUUCUGACAUGCUGAUAAUGGACUAACCUCUGAACUGCAUUCUUUCAGUGGGAGCCCAGGUCCUGGUUAUAUGUGAACCUCCCUGACCAGAAACUUUUACCAAAGAGCCAUAAAGCUAUGUCACUGAAGUUUCAGCAGAAGCAAUGUGACUCUCAGCUGCCUGGACAAUGAGCUUGAAACGGACUGCUGUUGAGGUGUCGGAACACAACGAACGGCUGGUUACAAAGAGGCAAUUGUUAGAGAAAUGGUUUAAUACAUUGCAAAUCCCUCCAUCUCCAUCCCUUCAAAAGGGAAUAAAGACCAAAAACAGAUCACACACAAAUUUACAUUAUAAAAUUGCUGUCAUCGUUCUCUGCCGGAUUAACCCAGGCUUAGGAGCCUCUGCUCAGCAAUCGCACUCCGGGUUCUUCCCUUUGGCAGAGCAGACGGUGUGGCCCAAGUGACUUUGGGGAUGAGAUGGUGGUUUUUCACUUCCUAUAGAAAAUUAGAAAAAUAGUGUUUGUCCAUUGUGAAGAAGUAUCUCCUGUGCUGGCACGAUGGCUUAGCAGGAAAGGCACCUGCCACCAAGGUGAUGACUUGAGUUUGGACCCAUAUGGUAGAAGGAAAGAACCGACUCCUGAAAGUUGUUCUCUGCUUUCCACAUGCGUGCUAUGCAUGCAUGCCCCUCCCUGUCACAUACAAAGUAAGUAAAAAUGUAAAAGUAAAAACAUUUUCUGAAAGUGCCUCUCGAGGCUGGAGAGAUGGCUUAAAGAUUAAGAACACCGGCUGCUCGUCCAGAGGACCCAAGCUUGUUUCCCAGCCCCGCGCCAGGCAGUCCAUAACUACCUGUAACUUUCAACUCCAGGAGGAUCCAAUACCUCAGGUCUCUGAGGGC